rnacentral:pre_miRNA from 1 species
CAGGCUGACCAACCAUCCUGGUUUGCCCUGGGACUGAGGGGUUUUCCAGAAUGAGAGACUUUCAGUGCCAAAACCAGGUCAGUCCCAGGCAAAUGACGAUGGUUGGUCACCCUGGCUUCUA